ACCAAUUCCGGACACAAUCUCAGCACUGUGGGAGACUGAGGCACCUGCCAAACCUGCACAGAUUCCUACAGCAGCCAGUUCGCUCUGUCUCGAGGCUUCAGAGGAACACGAACUUCUCUGAUGGAAGAGCCUUGUUCUAGAAGGGAGUGAAGCCUAGGUCUUUCCUGAGCACACAGAAGAUCAAGACCACACUCACUGACUUCUCAUAGUCAAGCAAUUUUGGCCAAUUAAAUGUCAGUUGGAAACUCCUGUGUCAGCUUCUCUGUGGCGGUGAGAAGUCCCUGUGUGACAUCCCAACUCUCCCCUCACCUGCGUUGGCAACCAAGAAAGCCUUGUGUUGGAGGUGGGGCCACAAGUUUAAAGCUAAGUUACCACCUCGAGGGCACAUUCCUGGAGAGCUUCCCAGGCCCACAGUGGCACGUGUAUGAGUGACAGAUCCACUUCUUUAUUACCUUUUUGAAGAACAGGAACCUUUGUCUGGAAAUUCCACAAGUAUGCCUUUUGCAAGAUUAAAAGUGCCACAAAGAACAAAAAUGAGCCCAGGACCAGAUGCAUGUUAAAAGCCAUCAGACACGUUAAGUUUCAUCUCCAUUGACCUGCAGAAGGAGUCUCUCACCACAGCCACCACAUCUAUGCAUGUGCUGAGUCACAUGUGAAGCCAGCACAUCUCAGAGUCUCACCGAAAGCUCAUGGUGAGACAAAGAGACUAGAAGGGGUAGAGUCAGCUAACUUCUCUCCUCCCACCACUGAUGAGGUUUUGGUGAAUUCUCUUCCCUUGCUCACUUGCAGAUUCAGCAGAGUUGUCUAUAGUGGCUUAAUUGGAAUUGCUGGACAAGAACAUUGAUUCUGCUUCACUCAGGUAAAGAUGAAAGUAACUGCAACAAUGGAUAUUGCAUUUGAAGGUCAUUGAGUUGUAGUCAGGCAAGGGGAGCAGAUAUUAAAACAUACACGCACAAAAUAAUGGGAUUUUUAUUUAGCAUCUCGCAAGUCUUGAGUAACAUAGUAUUAAUUGACCUUGAGAUUUCAUUCUUUUGUGACUCAUUGCAUUUGCUUUUGUGUUUCAGAUUAAUAUAGAAUAUUUUAAAGAAAGAGUAAUACAGCCAAUUUUAAUCUCUGGGAAGUUUAUGCAAGACAUAAUUUAUUUGUAAACUUUAUAAUAAUAUGUGAAUUAAAGACCCUUGUUAGUUUGGUAUGAAUCUGACAUAAGGGCUAAAAUCACUUUUUCAUUAGCCUUCUCCUGAUCUCAGGUUUACACCUAAGAGAUUCUUCACUCCAAAGUCUUCAUUUCCAAGCACAACCUGCUGGGUGCUGCGCUUUUCUGAGGUCUCCUCCCCAGCUCUGCAUCUAGCAGUGCUCAUGAUGCAAUGAUUUCCUGUCUGACUAUCCCAUUCCUAUCCUUUGCAAAGUUCACAUAGACCCAUUUGAGUACACUUUUAGUAGCAUACCAAGUUUAAGUGCCAAAGUUGUGUUUUAGUUCUUUCAUCCAGAAAGAAAACAUCAGCUGUUUCAAAUUUUAGAGUCCAGCUUGGGCAACAAGAGAAUUGUCAUGUCGUCGAUUGUGUAGUAAGACACAGUGAGUGUCCAGCAAUGUAAAAUCAGUCUAUAAAUGAGAAGAUUAAGACCAAAAGCAUCGGGUUACAAACAUCUCACUAAAGCCCAUUAGCAGGCAGAGAGCUCUCCGCGGAGCUAGAAAAUGAGACUUUUCCCUCCUUUCUGCCCCAUACAUUAGUGCUGAUCUCAGGAGCUCAUUUUUGCACCCUUUGUGGCAGACAACCAUAUAAUCAAAGGGUUCCCAUCACUAAAUCAUUUGAAAAGACAAGUAGAAAUUAGCUUUAGCUAAUUUAACUAGCCUUUGCCCCUCCUCCUGACCCUGAGGGUGAAGCACAUUUUAUCAUUCAUCCUCUGGGGGCUGGCUUAUGCUGGCUCCCUUUCCUUUGGCAGUGAUUUUAAGCAACCAAGUUCUUAUUACAAUUCUCAAAUUUAAAAUUAAGUUCUGAUCACAUCUUCUCAGGGCAUACCUAAGAGGCAGUGUUUAUCCCCAGCCAAAUCAAUUGUUUCCUCAAGUGACUCAUUCCUGAAAAUGUUAUUGUUUCUAAUAACCAGCUCAAAUAUGUAUUUUCAUUAAUCUUUUCUUUUACCUCCAUUUCACACGUGUUGCUGCAUGUCAGGCAGUUUCCACAAGGAUCUGCCAUGACAUCAUUGUGUGAGGUAUGAAAAAAAAAUUUUUUUUUUUCUAAUUUAAGAAUUACUUUUACUCAGAUGGUGGCUGGGCUGGGAAAUGUUCCCCAUUGCCCUGGGAGUUUUAGGCCAAGGCUUGUGUGUGUGUGUGUGUGUGUGUGUGUGUUGGAAGGGUCUCUCAUUGCCUAUUUCUGCUUAUAUAACACACACUGGUUUAGGUAGGUGGAGUCAGAAUGGGAAGAGGAAGUUCCCUAAGUGUUUCUUGCAUGCAAAGGUAAGUGGAGAAUGCCCAUCUGGGCACACAGGGCAAGGAUGCAGUGGAGUGACCUCUCCUUUCCCCUCCAACUCACAUGCUGGAGUUUAAAAACUGUAUCAGGAUGACAGAAACCAAGGGGUAAGACCACGGCUUCCUCUGGGGAUCUUCUAUAAACUGUAAGAACAAACACAGGUAUUUUGUAGUUCUUUAUCACAACGGGUCCUUUGCUGAUGAUUCUAGGUUUUAUGACUGCUGUUUUAUGUCCUACAAAUAGUAACAGGCAUUUCCCUUUGCCCUACACCACAGUAAGCCACUGGCCUAGACAAGAAGCAACUCUGCACUGCUUUUCAAACAUCAUCCUCCCUCUCGACCGCAGGGACUAUUUGGUUUCUAUUCUACUUCUGGCCUUUCAUAUUCCUGAUGGUGCAUUGGAUGAAACCCCGCAGCCAGGCGUGUGAACGUGGUUGAAAAGACCCAUGGAGGACCAGCAACGCUUCCCCACAGCGUGGGAUGGUCCCCUCCUGAGAUGGCCCACUGUCAGCGGGACUGACGCCAAGCACUGCAUCCUGUCUGCUUCUUGAACAGCCCCUUCAUUGUUUGUUCAGCUAUUCUGCUGCAUCUGCAGAUAGCCCUGCCUGAGAAACAGCCUCAAACCAGAAGGAGAGGAUGGCGGCAAGCCUUAGAGAAACAUCAAAAUUUGCUAUUAAGAAAAUAGUGAAGAAGUCUCAUCAGAGAGAAGUUAAAAGCAUACUAGUGGAUUCCUUGGGGCUGCAGAAAGAGUAGCAAAAAGUUGGAGAAAACAUCAACUACACCAAAGGAAUUUUAGGAGCUUGGUCCCCAGCAAAGCUCAUGGAAUCUCUCUCUGCAAGGAAGAGUCAGUUUUAAAAGCCCUCAGCCUGCUCUCAAUGGGUCCUGCCUCCUUCCCUGCCUGCACCCCAACACUGGGGAAAGGAGAAACCUCCGUUAGCAAGUUGGAGAAAAGGAGUUGAGGAAGGAAGAGGAUAGCCCGGCCCCCUCCCUGACUGCAGGUUUUUCUUUUUCUUUUUAACAGUGGAUUCUAGCGAGGGGAGGGCAAAUCCCUGAAACCUUGAAUGAAGUUGGAAGCCUUUACUAGUUUGUGUGUUUGGAAUUCUAAGUAGAAAUUGAGACUGUGUUUUGUGACUCAAAUGACUAAGAUUUUCUGUUACCUACGAGUGGCCAAAAUGUCAAGUAUUCAUCCGGGGGCAGGGUGAAAACUAGACCUACUGAGAAAGUUAAAAGACAAGGGGAAAACACAAUAAACCUGCUGUAUUUUUA
rnacentral:lncRNA from 1 species